CCUACGGGUGGCAGCAGUGAGGAAUAUUUGUCAAUGGACGAGAGUCUGAACCAGCCAAGUAGCGUGAAGGAUGACUGCCCUAUGGGUUGUAAACUUCUUUUAUAUGGGAAUAAAAUGUUCCACGUGUGGGAUUUUGUAUGUACCAUAUGAAUAAGGAUAGGCUAACUCCGUGCCAGCAGCCGCGGUAAUACGGAGGAUCCGAGCGUUAUCCGGAUUUAUUGGGUUUAAAGGGAGCGUAGGUGGAUUGUUAAGUCAGUUGUGAAAGUUUCCGGCUCAACCGUAAAAUUGCAGUUGAUACUGGCAGUCUUGAGUACAGUAGAGGUGGGCGGAAUUCGUGGUGUAGCGGUGAAAUGCUUAGAUAUCACGAAGAACUCCGAUUGCGAAGGCAGUUCACUGGACUUCAACUGACACUGAGGCGCGAAAGUGUGGGUAUCAAACAGGAUUAGAUACCCGUGUAGUC
rnacentral:rRNA from 1 species